AACCUCCGCAAUGUGAGAAAUCGCGACGGGGGGAUCCCAAGUGCCAUUCUUAACGGGAUGGCUUUUCAUUAGUGUAAAGAGCUUUUGGAAUAAGGGCUGGGCAAGACCGGUGCCAGCCGCCGCGGUAACACCGGCAGCUCUAGUGGUAGCAGUUUUUAUUGGGCCUAAAGCGUCCGUAGCCGGUUUAAUAAGUCUCUGGUGAAAUCCUGUAGCUUAACUGUGGGAAUUGCUGGAGAUACUAUUAGACUUGAGACCGGGAGAGGUUAGAGGUACUCCCAGGGUAGAGGUGAAAUUCUGUAAUCCUGGGAGGACCGCCUGUUGCGAAGGCGUCUAACUGGAACGGUUCUGACGGUGAGGGACGAAAGUUAGGGGCGCGAACCGGAUUAGAUACCCGGGUAGUCCUAACCGUAAACGAUGCGGACUUGGUGUUGGGUGGCUUUGAGCUGCUCCAGUGCCGAGGAAGCUGUAAGUCCGCCGCCUGGGAGUACGGUCGCAAGACUGAAACUUAAGGAAUU
rnacentral:rRNA from 1 species